rnacentral:rRNA from 1 species
AACGAACGCUGGCGGCAUGCCUAACACAUGCGAGUCGAACGAGACCUUCGGGUCUAGUGGCGCACGGGUGCGUACGCGUGGGAACCUGCCCUUAGGUUCGGAAUAACUCCCCGAAAGGGGUGCUAAUACCGGAUAAUGUCUUCGGACCAAAGAUUUAUCGCCUUUGGAUGGGCCCGCGUUGGAUUAGCUAGUUGGUAGGGUAAAAGCCUACCAAGGCGACGAUCCAUAGCUGGUCUGAGAGGAUGAUCAGCCACACUGGGACUGAGACACGGCUCAGACUCCUACGGGAGGCAGCAGUGGGGAAUAUUGGACAAUGGGCGAAAGCCUGAUCCAGCAAUGCCGCGUGAGUGAUGAAGGCCUUAGGGUUGUAAAGCUCUUUUACCCGGGAUGAUAAUGACAGUACCGGGAGAAUAAGCUCCGGCUAACUCCGUG